rnacentral:rRNA from 1 species
AUAUUAAAGUUGUUGCCGUUAAAAAGCUCGUAGUCGAACUUCGGCCUCUGCCGCCCGGUCCGCCUAUUUGGGUGUGUACUGGUGCGGUGGAGGCUUACCUCGUGGUGAACGGUCAUGCCCUUCAUUGGGUGUGGCCGGGAACCAUGAUUUUUACUUUGAAAAAAUUAGAGUGUUCAAAGCAGGCUUACGCCUGAAUACAUUAGCAUGGAAUAAUAAAAUAGGACGUGCGGUCCUAUUUUGUUGGUUUCUAGGAUCGCCGUAAUGAUUAAUAGGGAUAGUUGGGGGCAUUCGUAUUCAAUUGUCA